rnacentral:tRNA from 1 species
GGACGCAUGGCCCAGUGGUAAGGCGCUCGCCUUCGAUAUAGGAUGAGCUGUUGAUGUGGCAGCGAGAGAUCGUCGGUUCGACCCCGGCUGCGUUCA